rnacentral:rRNA from 1 species
GAUGAACGCUGGCGGCGUGCCUAAUACAUGCAAGUCGAGCGAACAGACUAGGAGCUUGCUCCUCUGACGUUAGCGGCGGACGGGUGAGUAACACGUGGAUAACCUACCUAUAAGACUGGGAUAACUUCGGGAAACCGGAGCUAAUACCGGAUAAUAUAUUGAACCGCAUGGUUCAAUAGUGAAAGACGGUUUUGCUGUCACUUAUAGAUGGAUCCGCGCCGCAUUAGCUAGUUGGUAAGGUAACGGCUUACCAAGGCAACGAUGCGUAGCCGACCUGAGAGGUGGAUCGGCCACACUGGAACUAAGACACGGUCCAGACUCCUACGGGAGGCAGCAGUAGGGAAUCUUCCGCAAUGGGCGCAAGCUUGCCGGAGCAACGCCGCGUGAGUGAUGAAGGUCUUCGGAUCGUAAAACUCUGUUAUUAGGGAAGAACAAAUGUGUAAGUAACUAUGCACGUCUUGACGGUACCUAAUCAGAAAGCCACGGCUAACUACGUG